GCAUGUUCAAACUUGAAAUCCUAUGAUAUAUUUGUGCAAUAGUUUAUCAGAAAAGUUUGAAUGUUCAUCAUUGUUUGUAAGUUUGAAAAGAUAAAGAUAACCGUUUAUUUCGACUAGAUCGAAAUAAGUUUAAAAGUAAAAGAAUACUUAAAGAUAAAUGCAAGUAAUAUUUAAAUAAACAACAUUUGAUUAAAUAAAUGAAGAAAGUUGGUGCAUGUCGCGUCAUUUUUUGGAGAUCAAGGCUAUUUGAUUAGCUUUUGACUCACUAAUUAUUUUACGACUGAACAUUUAAUUUUUUAAGAAAAAGGGGAAAAAAGUUCAAACUACCCCUAUUUGAAAAGAUUUAGGGUUCGGGGGUUAGUUACAUAAAGGGAAGGUAUU
rnacentral:lncRNA from 1 species